rnacentral:sRNA from 1 species
AAAAGUGGCUGCAAAA